GAGGAUAUAGCUCAGUGGUAGAGUGCAUGCCUAGCAUGCAUGAGGUCCUGGGUUCAAUCCUCAGUACCUCCA
rnacentral:tRNA from 1 species